AGAGUUUGAUCCUGGCUCAGAACGAACGCUGGCGGCAGGCUUAACACAUGCAAGUCGAACGCAUCCUUCGGGGUGAGUGGCAGACGGGUGAGUAACGCGUGGGAACGUGCCCUUCAGUUCGGGAUAACCCAGGGAAACUUGGGCUAAUACCGGAUACGUGCGAGAGCAGAAAGAUUUAUCGCUGAAGGAUCGGCCCGCGUCUGAUUAGCUAGUUGGUGGGGUAAUGGCCCACCAAGGCGACGAUCAGUAGCUGGUCUGAGAGGAUGAUCAGCCACAUUGGGACUGAGACACGGCCCAAACUCCUACGGGAGGCAGCAGUGGGGAAUAUUGGACAAUGGGCGCAAGCCUGAUCCAGCCAUGCCGCGUGAGUGAUGAAGGCCUUAGGGUUGUAAAGCUCUUUCGUCCGGGACGAUAAUGACGGUACCGGAAGAAGAAGCCCCGGCUAACUUCGUGCCAGCAGCCGCGGUAAUACGAAGGGGGCUAGCGUUGUUCGGAAUCACUGGGCGUAAAGGGCGCGUAGGCGGCUUUGUAAGUCGGGGGUGAAAGCCUGUGGCUCAACCACAGAAUUGCCUUCGAUACUGCAUGGCUUGAGACCGGAAGAGGUAAGUGGAACUGCGAGUGUAGAGGUGAAAUUCGUAGAUAUUCGCAAGAACACCAGUGGCGAAGGCGGCUUACUGGUCCGGUUCUGACGCUGAGGCGCGAAAGCGUGGGGAGAAACAGGAUUAGAUACCCUAGUAGUCC
rnacentral:rRNA from 1 species